UGGCAAGAUGAACCAAGCAGAAGGAAAGAAUCGAGGCAAGACUUAAAGGCAAGGAGUAUGGAAUCCCAGGGGGAUCCUGAAGGGGGAAAACGACUCGUUCCAUCCUUCCACACCUCUCUUCCUAUCUCCAUAUGGGCAAGGCUCUAUCCACACGGCAGCAGGCUGGCACAGCCUGAUGGAUUUGGAGCGAAGGCUUUCCACGGCGAGGCACGGCCUAGGUUGGUUGGCAUCGGCACGAAGAAGGCCUUUGAGAGAGGGAGCGAGAGCCCAGGUGGAAGGGCCCUUCUUGGCGGGGGAUGGAGCCCCCACCCUCGUCUGGGCCCCAGCCCCAGCCCCAGCAGCCCCGGGGACUGCUGAGCCCGAGAGAGAAGGAGAGGCUGAGAGGGGCUGUUCGAGCCUAUGUCCACACGAGGGCGCCAGAGCCCCUUCCGGUCCCAGGGGCAGCUCAGAGGCUCUAAGUGGUGGGAGGGGCAAGGCUCCAAAGGCGCAGGCUCCACGUCGGGGGCGGAUGGAGGCUUGAGCGGGACGCACCCACAGCAGGCCCCCAGAGGACGUGCGGGUGUUUCCUGGGCAGCAGGGACUCUCUCCUGCGAGACACCUCCUGUCAGCUGGAGGGCGGAGGUGUCCCUUCCGGAUUUGGAGGGAAUUCGGUCGGGUCCGAUGGGCUAGGCUAGGCCAUCUGGACGGAAUCCACGGAAUCCUUCGGCCCAUCGCUUUUCCCGAGGGGCAGCACUCUCGACCGUGACACCUUCUCUGGGGAGCGCUGUGUCGCUCCUGUGUUGGGGUGGAGUGUUCAGGACUCCUUUUGGCUGGUCGCUGAUCGAAGUGGAUCCAUUGCAGUUUCCCAACCAAGGGAUCCCAUCGGCCAUGUCUAUGCAUCCUGUUUGGCUCCCCUUCUCCUCCCUUGGGUUCCAAGAAGAGGGACUAGACCUCGUAGCGUCUGCUCCAUGGAAGGAGGGCUCUGGCACCCCCCGCAAGGGCAAGGGUUUGGAUCUCGGACCUCCCCAAUUCCAGGCAUGCCCACAGCCUCGCCCUCCCAUUUGGCAAGCACCAUCUGGAGGGCAGUGCAGGGGUUUCUUUCCUGGACGACAGUUCCUGGGUGUCCCUGGUGAGAUGGGCGAGGGAAGGGGUUUCCCAUGGGCUGUGUGUCUCCCUCCCAGACCUCUUUCCUUUCGUGUGAGCAUUUCUCUUCGCAACGCUGUGGCUGCCCAUGGCCCCUUUUGCUGCACAGGUUGAUUGCCGAGUCCGCUUCUGUUGGGGAGAAGGACCGCUGCUGGCUCAGCCAAGCCUCUGUCCAUGGACAUCGAAUGGCUUUCCAUGUGUUGCUCUUGGGAAGAGGGCUUCCUGAACCGAGUGGGGCGUUUCCGGCUGAGAAGAGACCCUUUGUCUGGGUAUAUGGCCGUGAGGGGUAGUGCUGGGUCUGGCGGUGGUUGCAGGGUUCUUUUGGGGGUGCCGUGGAUCCUGUGGCCCAUCGUGGUGGAACAAACGGUCGCACACGCCCACCCGGUGUGAGGGCACCUUCUUUUCCACAGCCUGCCCUGGGGUUGUCAUUGAAAGGCGUCCUCAGGAUGGCCAUGGGGACAGGGCUGAGGAGGGCACUCGACCUGGUUGGGGUGUGGACUUCUCUAGGCAUGCGUGAUGGUGUUCCUUUGUGUGGUGCUGGAUGCCGGCUGGCCACCUGGAUUUGGCAGGGUUUCUUCAGGCCCCCUCCCCACCUGUGGCCUGGGUGGGUGGGUUUCUGCUGUCGUUCGUGGGUUCCGUGCUGGAGCUGAUCGGUGUGGAAGCCCAGCGUGGC